AACGAACGCUGGCGGCAUGCCUAACACAUGCAAGUCGAACGAGACCUUCGGGUCUAGUGGCGCACGGGUGCGUAACACGUGGGAAUCUGCCCUUUGCUUCGGAAUAACAGUUAGAAAUGACUGCUAAUACCGGAUGAUGUCGAAAGACCAAAGAUUUAUCGGCAAAGGAUGAGCCCGCGUAGGAUUAGGUAGUUGGUGGGGUAAAGGCCUACCAAGCCGACGAUCCUUAGCUGGUCUGAGAGGAUGAUCAGCCACACUGGGACUGAGACACGGCCCAGACUCCGACGGGAGGCAGCAGUGGGGAAUAUUGGACAAUGGGCGAAAGCCUGAGCCAGCAAUGCCGCGUGAGUGAUGAAGGCCUGAGGGUUGUAAAGCUCUUUUACCAGGGAUGAUAAUGACAGGACCUGGAGAAUAAGCUCCGGCUAACUCCG
rnacentral:rRNA from 1 species